rnacentral:tRNA from 1 species
GAGCCAUUAGCUCAGUUGGCAGAGCAUCUGACUUUUAAUCAGAGGGUCGGAGGUUCGAACCCUCCAUGGCUCACCA